CCCGCCCCCUCCUCUCGACCCCUCCCUGCCCCUCCCUGCUUGACCUUGCCCCUCUUCUGCCCAGCGGGGAGCAGAUCCGGACGGCGAGCGCCGGCUGAGCGCUGCGCAGGCUCAGCUCUCGGGCAUGCUCACUACCACCCGGGGAGCGAAAUCGGGGAAAGUUGCGAGGGGAAGCCGGCAGGGUUUAAAUGCGACGGAGCGGGGCUGGGAUUGGGCGCGUUGAGGCGCUACCGCCGCCGAUCUCCCCCGGCCGAAGUACCUCCAGGGAGCUUGCAUGCAGGCAGGCUCCCGGUUCACAGCCCCAGCGCAGGCAGGCAGCGCUUGCAUCUCUACAGGCACCCAGCCUACAGCAGCCCAAAUACACCCAGAAAGGGGGAUCUUCAGCGUGCGGCCGUCCAGCCACACAACUACACCUUGGGAGGUUGCACCUUCCGGGCACCCAGCCCUCCGCUCCCCGCGCACCCGGAGAGACACCGAGAUCCGCUGCGUGAGCCCAGCCAGACUGAGCCGACAAGCCCCGAUACUCCCUGGGAGCUUGCCUCCACCAAGACGCCCAGCCUAGAGGUCUAACGCGACCCCGAAAGGAAGCGCUCCAGCGAGCGAGCCCCAGGCUGCGCUUACAGCCCAACUCCACCCGAGACUGAGUGGAAGAUGUGCAGCGUGCAGCCAAUCCAGACACCCAGCCCACAGCUCCAACCUCUCUGAGCGCCGAUCGGGCAGAACCUCACAAAUCAGCUCCUCUCUGCCGCCAGCCAGCCAGCAGCUCCCCAACCCUCCUCCCGCUUUUCCUCCAAACCCGACGGCCCGGGAGCUGCUCCUCGCCAACGACCCGCUGCGAUCAUUCAGCACCCGCUCGUUCCCCCUCGGCGGCGGCAGCAGCAGCACCCCAAGCUUGGGAAUUGUAUUGUUGGAGUGUGUGUGUGCGUGUGAGCGCGCGAGGGAGAUUGCUACGGAGGCAUCAACCUGUAGGCUGAGAUUUCUUUUGCGGCAGCUACCUGUUUGGAAAGCGCUUUGCGGGUGCAGCAGGAAAAGCGCACAGAGACUUAUGCAACCCCUCCUCAAUCUGGAGGCGGGCAAGUGAACUAGGUCUCCGGCCCCGGCACAGCGCAGCCUUUCCGGGGGAGGGCUCCCCAUCCCGGCUGCUGGCUGGAUCCGGACGAAGACGGAAUCAGGCAGCGGGAGGUGAGAGCCCAAGUGAAGGCAAGCGGCUUUGCAAGGCAGCGCACGCCAGGAGCUGCACCGUGGCCCGCUGGUACCUACACGUCCCCGGGAUAACAGGAUACAUUGAUUUGCUCUGAAUGGGAGAAGCUCUCCAAACCUGGUGGGUGGCUCAGAUUGUGAUCAUCAGCUUAGAGAAGUUGCAGUAAAGAGAGAUUUCCCCUCCCAUUCCCACGCUCCCCCUUCUCCACAGAUUGUGGUGGCAGACGCCGGACAGGUAACCCAGCAAGCCGGGUGAUGGUGCACUGGCUUCCCCGGAGCCCUAGACAGAUAAGCCUGGCUCCCGCAUUCCCAGCACUGCUGAGCCGGAGCAGUCACUGAACCACCACCAGCAGCAGCAGCAAAAGCACCCCCCACCGGAGCAGUGUGGGAGCUAUUGCGCAAUUCUGCCCAGAUUUGCUUCCCUCACUCCCUCCCCAACCCUCAAUGCUGCUCAACUCACGAGGAAACAGAAAGCUGAUUCAUGGAUCCCAGACCCAGCUUCCUCUGUGCUGCUGUCCAUAAGAAGAUCAUGGUGCUGCUGCUGCUUGAGACUUUGUUGUAAAUCCCCUCCCCCCCUCCCCAAAUCCUGAGCGCUCGCUCUCUCUCGGAAGUGUGGUUACUGCUUGGGGAGCAGCCGAGCCUGGCGCAAAAGGGGAAACGUUGAUGCAUCGCUGUGGAAAUUCAUUGUGUGACUUUCUGGGUAUUUACUGAGUUUCAAACCGAGAUGCAGCUCUUGAAAGCUUUAUGGGCAUUAGCAGGAGCAGCUAUCUGCUGUUUUCUUAUAUUUGUCAUCCGCUCACAGUUCCUUAAAGAAGGUCAACUGGCUGCAGGUACAUGUGAGAUUGUUACUUUGGACAGAGAUAGCAGUCAGCCCCGAAGGACUAUAGCCCGACAAACAGCUCGCUGUGCAUGUAAAAAAGGACAGAUUGCCGGUACAACAAGAGCAAGGCCAGCCUGCGUGGAUGCACGAAUUAUCAAAACAAAACAGUGGUGUGAAAUGCUUCCAUGUUUAGAAGGAGAAGGCUGUGAUUUGCUAAUCAAUAAAUCAGGCUGGACCUGUACACAACCGGGUGGGCGAAUAAAGACAACCACGAAAUCUGAUCACCACAGAACUCCUUGCCAAAAUUCCACAGAAACCAGGGGGUAUUGGGGAUCUUGCCAAAGAAUUUAGAUCCAAUAUGCUGCACAAUACACAGGGCUCUGCCUCUGAUAGACAGCGACACACUGGUCUCCUGACAAAUGCAGCAGCAAAGAAUUCUCGUAUGAGUGGUCUAGGUUCUGUGUGAGCUACUUACCUUAGUCAAGUUUCACUGCUGUGGAUCAUCAUCCAUUAUAUGUCAUCAAUUCAACUGUCUGUUUCUCUAUAUCUCAUAAAAGACAGCAUAAUUCCUCUACAUUAUGAGCUAAAAGUCUGUUCUACCAUUCUAAGAAGCACUGGACUAAGGAAUAUAGAUAUAAGAGAUACGCUUGGGCAUUAGCAAUACAAAAAGUUCAUGGUUAACGUUUCAUCUGCGUUAUACACCACUGUUGGACUCGAUGUUACCGACAUGUUUUGAUCUGAAGAGUCUACUGCACUGAAGAGUAUUCAUCCCAAUCAGCCUUAGAGAAGACUGUUUUGUCUAUGGGAGGACACUGAGGUGCAAAAGAGAAUCUCUUCUUGUGCCGUGGACUGUCUGAAUUGCUUUUAUUUUCUUAUACUUUCAGUAUAUACAAUAGACCAAAGAGCAAAAUCUAUUUUAAAGUGGACACAAUCUUACUGUUAACAGAGCUAUCUGGGUUAAAUUGUAGGGUGGUCUCCACAAAGACAUGAUUUCAACUCUCACAAAGCUGAGAUGUUCCUGUACAGCAGAAGUCUUUAUGGAACACUGCAGUAAAAACUAAACUAGAAAAUUACUCUUGAAAAACCACAUUAUAAACAACGAAAUGGAGCAUGGAGAGAAAACGGCGUAUGUUUGAAAAACUUUGAUGAAACAACUACAAACUGUCUACAUGGCACCUUUAUUCCUCUGUACUUAGAUUGACUUUCUCAUACUAAAAUCAUUUUCAGUUUUAACCAGUUAAACAUGCCUCUUCUACAGUUCCAUUUUUGAUAGUUAAAAUUGGAUAAUACAGUAUUUGCAAAGAGCAUGUUUGGUCAUCUGUGGCCUAUGUCUCAUCUGAUACACCAUUUAGCACCAGAAAGCAAAUUAAAGAAAAAAAAAGUAACACUUGUUUGAAAGAGAUCAUUAAAUGUAUUUUGAAAAGCCUAAAGUUAUAUAUUUAACAGUUUUUAUAUGUUGUAUAUUUGUAGAAAAUCCUAUUUAACAAUUAACGUGGUAACUCUGACGGUCAUGACAAAUGGUUCAGAGUUAAGUUGUGUUUUAUUACUUCAGUUGUCUCUGAAGUGACAGGUGUCAUUUGCUUUCUUCCAUUAGGACAUUCUGGAUGUAAAGCAUGACCAGAGAGGACUCUGUAGAAAAAGCAAAGAAUAAUGUUGUUUCUAUUACAUAAAUGCAUUCAACCAUUGCA